rfam:Dipodomys ordii contig_16077, whole genome shotgun sequence.
GGAAAUGUGGCUUAGUGGUAGAGUGCUUGCCUAUCAUGCAUGAAGCCCAGCGUUCAAUUCCUCAGUACCA